rnacentral:ncRNA from 2 species
ACACGUUGAUCCUCCUGUCCCCAGGCGGAUGCAGUUGGACCCAUCUCAGGCAACGGGGAGGUGGG